AAAUUCGGUCAUCUGGCACCGUCUUCUCUCUCCCAACUUCUCGUUAUCGCCGCUAUUCGCCUUCGUCUGUUUCCAGGUAGCUCUUUCAUUGCCUUGCGUGGACUCCAUUUCGCCGCAAAAAGUAAAUAAUCUAAAAUGGCUGGUGAUCACGCUGCUGAAAGUCAGUUCUCUGGAAUGGCCAAAUAUUUCAACUCCACCACCAUUCGAGGCCGAGCGAAUGUUGCUCUGGCCACCUAUGGAUUCAUUGGUGUUAUUGUUCUCUACAAUAUGGUUAAGCCAAGCAAAGCACCAGCUAAAGCUGCUCACUAGUAUCCUUUCAGCGAUCUGUUGUAAAAUGAAUAGUUGGUCUACAUCAAACUUUAUCAAUAAACAAAUAGUUGUAAA